UGGGGAAUCUUCCGCAAUGGACGAAAGUCUGACGGAGCAACGCCGCGUGAGUGAAGACGGCCUUCGGGUUGUAAAGCUCUGUGAUUCGGGACGAAAGGCCAUAUGUGAAUAAUAUAUGGAAAUGACGGUACCGAAAAAGCAAGCCACGGCUAACUACGUGCCAGCAGCCGCGGUAAUACGUAGGUGGCAAGCGUUGUCCGGAAUUAUUGGGCGUAAAGCGCGCGCAGGCGGUCUCUUAAGUCCAUCUUAGAAGUGCGGGGCUUAACCCCGUGAGGGGAUGGAAACUGGGAGACUGGAGUAUCGGAGAGGAAAGUGGAAUUCCUGGUGUAGCGGUGAAAUGCGUAGAUAUUAGGAAGAACACCGGUGGCGAAGGCGACUUUCUGGACGAAAACUGACGCUGAGGCGCGAAAGCGUGGGGAGCAAACAGG
rnacentral:rRNA from 1 species